GAUGAACGCUGGCGGCGUGCCUAAUACAUGCGAGUCGAGCGAACAGACGAGGAGCUUGCUCCUCUGACGUUAGCGGCGGACGGGUGAGUAACACGUGGAUAACCUACCUAUAAGACUGGGAUAACUUCGGGAAACCGGAGCUAAUACCGGAUAAUAUAUUGAACCGCAUGGUUCAAUAGUGAAAGACGGUUUUGCUGUCACUUAUAGAUGGAUCCGCGCCGCAUUAGCUAGUUGGUAAGGUAACGGCUUACCAAGGCAACGAUGCGUAGCCGACCUGAGAGGAUGAUCGGCCACACUGGAACUGAGACACGGUCCAGACUCCUACGGGAGGCAGCAGUAGGGAAUCUUCCGCAAUGGGCGAAAGCCUGACGGAGCAACGCCGCGUGAGUGAUGAAGGUCUUCGGAUCGUAAAACUCUGUUAUUAGGGAAGAACAAAUGUGUAAGUAACUAUGCACGUCUUGACGGUACCUAAGCAGAAAGCCACGGCUAACUACGU
rnacentral:rRNA from 1 species